rnacentral:rRNA from 1 species
AGUGAACGCUGGCGGUAGGCCUAACACAUGCAAGUCGAACGGCAGCACAGUAAGAGCUUGCUCUUACGGGUGGCGGGUGGCGGACGGGUGAGGAAUACAUCGGAAUCUACUUUUUCGUGGGGGAUAACGUAGGGAAACUUACGCUAAUACAGCAUACGACCUACGGGUGAAAGCAGGGGAUCUUCGGACCUUGCGCGAUUGAAUGAGCCGAGGUCGGAUUAGCUAGUUGGCGGGGUAAUGGCCCACCAAGGCGACGAUCCGUAGCUGGUCUGAGAGGAUGAUCAGCCACACUGGAACUGGGACACGGUCCAGACUCCUACGGGAGGCAGCUGUGGGGAAUAUUGGACAAUGGGCGCAAUCCUAAUCCAGCCAUACCGCGUGGGUGAAGAAGGCCUUCGGGUUGUAAAGCCCUUUUGUUGGGAAAGAAAAGCAGCAGGUUAAUACCCCGCUGUUCUGACGGUACCCAAAGAAUAAGCACCGGCUAACUUCGUG